ensembl:lncRNA
AUCAGACGUCUCCAGCGCCCGGCGGCCCUCACUGGGUGAGCCGUCUACUCCCUGACAGAGGAAGAGCGUUCACAUGUGGAUGUUAACGUAGUGGGAAAGAAUCUCAUGGUUCAUCUGUGGAUCUGUGCGUGUGUGUGUGCGUGUGUGUGCGUGUGUGUGUGUCUGUGUUAGUGUGCGUUUGUGUUGGGGGGGGUCCUGGAUUGAACACUAUGGCUUCACGUCUUCAUACGUAGAGAUACAUUUUGGCGAAACACGCUUUCAUCUCAAGGGGUUCGGAGGUCAACAGGAUCUGUGGUAACCAAUCGAUGGCUGACAUGCAGACAGACACCAUCAGCCGCUGAUACGGUGGAGCCUGGG